rnacentral:rRNA from 1 species
AAGUCGUAACAAGGUUUCCGUAGGUGAACCUGCGGAAGGAUCAUUAAAGAUUCGGCUCUCGGGCCAAACCUCUUCAGCUGUGCGCUUUGGCUGCACGCUGUUGAACCUCACACACCUGUGAACAUUCCGGUUGUGGGUCACCUCACGGUGUCUCACUUCCGCCUUUACAUCAAACUACCAGUCUAGAAUGUAAAAACUAUAAAUGAACAACUUUCAACAACGGAUCUCUUGGCUCUCGCAUCGAUGAAGAACGCAGCGAAAUGCGAUAAGUAAUGUGAAUUGCAGAAUUCAGUGAAUCAUCGAAUCUUUGAGCGCAUCUUGCGCUCCUUGGUAUUCCAUGGAGCAUGCCUGUUUGAGUGUCACGUAAACCCUCACACCAGUGAUGUCAAAGUCUCUGGAGGUGGAAUUGGACUGUGCCGUAGUUGGCUCGUCCUGAAAUUCAUUAGCCUGCGCUUUGUUAGCGUGCUCGGCAUGGUGUGAUAAUUAUCUGCGCCGUCGCCUUAGGCCGCUUCUUUUAAUGUGCUGCUUCUAAUCGUCCCUUGUGGACAGACACUAUAAAGCUUUGGCCUCAAAUCAGGUAGGACUACCCGCUGAACUUAAGCAUAUCAAUAAGCGGAGGAAAAGAAACUAACAAGGAUUCCCCUAGUANCGGCGAGUGAAGCGGGAAGAGCUCAAAUUUGAAAUCUGGCGGUCUAAGGCUGUCCGAGUUGUAAUCUAGAGAGGUGUUUUCCGUGCCGGACCGCAUACAAGUCCCUUGGAACAGGGCGUCAUAGAGGGUGAGAAUCCCGUCCAUGAUGCGGACUACCGGUGCUCUGUGAUACACCUUCAAAGAGUCGAGUUGUUUGGGAAUGCAGCUCAAAAUGGGUGGUAAAUUCCAUCUAAAGCUAAAUACAGGCGAGAGACCGAUAGCGAACAAGUACCGUGAGGGAAAGAUGAAAAGAACUUUGGAAAGAGAGUUAAACAGUACGUGAAAUUGUUGAAAGGGAAACGCUUGGAGUCAGUCGCGUUUGCCGGGACUCAGCCUUGCUUCUGCUUGGUGCACUUCUCGGUAGAUGGGCCAGCAUCGAUUUUGGCUGCCGGAAAAUGACUUGAGGAAUGUGGCAGCUUGCUGUGUUAUAGCCUCUUGUUGUACACGGUGUCUGGGAUCGAGGACUGCAGCACGCCUUUGGCCGGGGUUCGCCCACGCCACGUGCUUAGGAUGCUGGCAAAAUGGCUUUAAACGACCCGUCUUGAAACACGGACC